rnacentral:rRNA from 1 species
UAACGAAUAUUGGGCAAUGGGCGCAAGCCUGACCCAGCAAUGCCGCGUGCAGGAGGAAGCCCUUCGGGGUGUAAACUGCUGUCAGGAGCUAGCAAACAAGGGACGUUAAUAGCGUCCGGCGUUGAGCAGCUCCAGAGGAAGCCUCGACUAACUCUGUGCCAGCAGUCGCGGUAAGACAGAGGAGGCAAGCGUUGUUCGGAAUCACUGGGCUUAAAGAGGGUGUAGGCGGCUUGGCAAGUGUCGUGUGAAAUCCAACGGCUCAACCGUUGAACUGCACGGCAAACUGUCUGGCUUGAGGUUGGCAGAGGUGCCUGGAACUCUUGGUGGAGCGGUGAAAUGCGUAGAUAUCAAGAGGAACGCCGGAGGCGAAAGCGGGGCACUGGGCCAAUUCUGACGCUGAGACCCGAAAGCGUGGGGAGCAAACA